GGCAAGGCUAAAACUCAAAGGAAUUGACGGGGGCCCGCACAAGCGGCGGAGCAUGCGGAUUAAUUCGAUGCAACGCGAAGAACCUUACCAAGGCUUGACAUAUACCGGAUCGUUCCAGAGAUGGUUCUUCCCCUUUGGGGUCGGUAUACAGGUGGUGCAUGGUUGUCGUCAGCUCGUGUCGUGAGAUGUUGGGUUAAGUCCCGCAACGAGCGCAACCCUCGUUCCAUGUUGCCAGCACGUGAUGGUGGGGACUCAUGGGAGACUGCCGGGGUCAACUCGGAGGAAGGUGGGGAUGACGUCAAAUCAUCAUGCCCCUUAUGUCUUGGGCUUCACGCAUGCUACAAUGGCCGGUACAAAGGGUUGCGAUACUGUGAGGUGGAGCUAAUCCCAAAAAGCCGGUCUCAGUUCGGAUUGAGGUCUGCAACUCGACCUCAUGAAGUCGGAGUCGCUAGUAAUCGCAGAUCAGCAACG
rnacentral:rRNA from 1 species